rnacentral:misc_RNA from 1 species
AAUGAAUAUCACAUCGAUCUGAAUUUAGCCCUCUAAUCCUAGACUUGAAGGCACCAAAAAUUAAAGUGGUCAAGGAGAGAUCAAAGGGAGCCUCAAUCAAAUAGAUUGAAUAAGGAAAUAUAGUAAUAAUUGGUGCUUGAACUAUCUAAAAUUCUUGCUCGAAGACACCAAAUUGAUCUUCUUGCACAUUGAAUUGACAUCUCCUUCAGCUCUCCUUUUUCCGCAUUUCACUUUGCAAUCGAAGAAGGAAGAAAUACACGGAGAGAUUCUGUUCUCUGGAACUGAAAUUGAAUAGAUUGGUUGAUUCAAGAUAUUGGUGAUGUCCUCAAGAGGCUUCCUGAUUCUCCUUUUCUUGCCAGGCAAUAAUGGGGACUUCAGAAGAAGUGUGGGCAUGGCUCGCUGCUCUGAGUAGAAAGGAGGGAUGUUCUCCUUGUUACCAUUUUCACAGAUAAGAGGAAGGAGAGCCAUUGCAGGUGCAGAAGAGAGAGAGUGGUGAAUGAAUUGAUGGGGAAGAACACGGUGGUAUAUGUAAUGGUGGGAUUUUG